UGUGCAUGAAUAAAGAAUGUCGUCUAUUGUGAUUUCUUCCUUUAACGCCCGGGGAAUGAACGAGCCUUGCAAACGGUCCCAAAUCCUGGCCCUUUUACAGAGGGAUAAAGUGUCUAUAG